CACGUAUGUAAAUACAAGAUACAACAUGUGAGUUAUUUUAUAGAAUAAAUAAAAAAGAUCUUUAAAAAUACUCUAAAAUGACUAAAGUAAAAAUAUAUUGUUUAAGCUAUGAAGUUGUUUGUCCCUUUCGCUUUAUAAGUGUCUCCUUUUAUAGUCUUCACUUAUUGACCUAUUUGACCCUUCUUUAGAGCCCUAGUCUAUUAGGUUACAUCUUUGAGAUCACACACUACUCAUUUGUACGAGUACUAUAUCCACGCAACUUGCUUGUACAGGGCACAUGCUGGAGCAUGUGUAGCUCAUGUCAUUCGUUCGUGUUGGGUGUGUGGCCAGCCAUGGAGCACUUCCCAUGAGGACCACAUCUUUCACUUGGACAUUAACUUGGUGUUGAACUACCUUGUGUAGUUGAAUUGAAUGUAAGCUUGGUACAAUUGAUCAAGGGGGAGCUCAACAUGACCUUAGGCAAGUUGAGCUAGGCAUGUGACCUGAAUGGUCAAGCUAAUUUACACAUGACCUAUAUGGUGGAGCUGAGUUGAGCUAUGCAUGAGUUGGAUGGUGGAGCUCAUCUGAAUGGUAGAGUUAAGUUAGGCGUGAGCUAGGCUAAGCUAAAUGAAGGAGUUGAGCUAUUUGAACUAAAUGGUGGAGCUAAGUUAGGCAUGAGAUGAAUGGUUGGGCUAGUGUUGAGUAGGACCUAACUUGUCAAGCUGAAAUAGUAGAGGCCACGUGUAUGGUCAUCCAUACCAGUCCACAAUGCACCAAGCUCCAAACUAGGAUAACCUAUUAAGACAUUGAUGUUUCGUUAAGCUUGUUAACGCAUAAACGUUUUUCUUUUUCAGGCUAGCCUUUGUGCCAUUAUUAUAAGAAUUUUAAACGUGUAUUGUCUAUAAGGCUACCUUUGUGCCAUUAUUAUAAGAAUUUUGUGUGGUUACCUAUAAUCUUAACUAUGUUAUUUUUGUUACUGAGAUGAGCUCC
rnacentral:lncRNA from 1 species